UAGCUAGGGAAACAGGCGGCGACUGAGCUGCGGGGGCGCAUGCGCUCGGUAAAUGCCGGCGGCUGCUGUCGAACUUCGCGGAGAAUGCUGGAAUCCCUGUCCUGAAUGGAACCUCCGCCCUUCGGUUUCAGAGAUAUGUGCUUGACUCACCCAUGGCCAAGUCACAGAUGAAUGCAAGUGUGUAUGACAUUAACCUUAGGUCAAGGUCACCAGCAAUCUUGCCUGCGAGAUUCAGGAAUAUGGUGAGGAGUCAGAAGAGGGGACCGGCACUAAAUUACUGGACAUCUGGAGAGGUUGGAUUUUAAUUUCCACUCUGCCUCAACUUCUUAAUCCACUUCCAACAACCUGGCUGAGAGAAGAAGAGGACCCUCCCUUGAUACCUUAUAUGAGAAAAAAUUAGGUGCAACUUAGGGGCAGGCUGUAUGGACUACAUUCAAGUAUGUUAAAAGCUGCAGUAUAUGCCAUUCUCUGUCUUGAGGAUGAAUUACAUCUGGUCAUAUCACCUUUGUCCUCUUUCUGGGCAAAUGAGCACACUUUCAGGA